rnacentral:rRNA from 1 species
UGAGCUUGAUCCUGGCUCAGGACGAACGCUGGCGGCGUGCCUAAUACAUGCAAGUCGAGCGCAGGAAGCCGGCGGAUCCCUUCGGGGUGAAGCCGGUGGAAUGAGCGGCGGACGGGUGAGUAACACGUGGGCAACCUACCUUGUAGACUGGGAUAACUCCGGGAAACCGGGGCUAAUACCGGAUGAUCAUUUGGAUCGCAUGAUCCGAAUGUAAAAGUGGGGAUUUAUCCUCACACUGCAAGAUGGGCCCGCGGCGCAUUAGCUAGUUGGUAAGGUAAUGGCUUACCAAGGCGACGAUGCGUAGCCGACCUGAGAGGGUGAUCGGCCACACUGGAACUGAGACACGGUCCAGACUCCUACGGGAGGCAGCAGUAGGGAAUCAUCCGCAAUGGGCGAAAGCCUGACGGUGCAACGCCGCGUGAACGAUGAAGGUUUUCGGAUCGUAAAGUUCUGUUAUGAGGGAAGAACAAGUGCCGUUCGAAUAGGUCGGCACCUUGACGGUACCUCACGAGAAGCCGACUC